GACGAACGCUGGCGGCGUGCUUAACACAUGCAAGUCGAACGGGAUCCAUGUUGUAGCAAUACUUCGGAAGAUCUAGUGGCGAACGGGUGAGGAACACGUGAGAAACCUGCCCCGAACUUCGGGAUAACAGUUGGAAACGACUGCUAAUACCGAAUACCUCUGCGAAGUGGCAUCACUUUGCAAAGAAAGAAUUUCGGUUCGGGAGGGUCUCGCGGCCUAUCAGCUAGUUGGUGGGGUAACGGCCUACCAAGGCAUCGACGGGUAGCUGGUCUGAGAGGAUGAUCAGCCACACUGGGACUGAGACACGGCCCAGACUCCUACGGGAGGCAGCGGUGGGGAAUCUUGUGCAAUGGGCGAAAGCCUGACACAGCAACGCCGCGUGCGGGAAGAAGGCCUUCGGGUCGUAAACCGCUUUCAGCAGGAACGAAAAUGACGGUACCUGCAGAAGAAGGUGCGGCCAACUACGUGCCAGCAGCCGCCGCCG
rnacentral:rRNA from 1 species